CAGUGCCUUGACUUCUGGGAAAGGCACGGUAGACACCUAGAGGAUGAGGCAUUGGGCUCUUCUCCUGUGCCUGGUGACAGUUCUCCAAGGUGUCCUGUCCCAGGUGCAGCUGCGGGAGUCUGGCCCUGGCCUGGUGAAGCCCUCACAGACGCUGUCCCUCACCUGCUCCGUCUCUGGAUUCUCCAUCGCCACCAGUGGUUACUGCUGGGACUGGAUCCGUCAGCGCUCCGGGAAGGGACUGAUGUGGAUGGGGCGGAUAUGUUGGGAUGGAAACACUAAAUACAGCCCUACCUUCAAGAGCCGCGUUUCCAUCACCAGAGACGCGUCCAAGAAUGAGUUCUUCCUAGAGCUGAGCGCUGUGACCACAGAGGACACGGCCGUGUAUUACUGUGAAAGACACACAGUCAGGGAAGCUCAACAUGAGACCAGACAAAAACCUCCCUGCGAGGGCGUUCUCGACCAGCAGGGGGCGCGUAGUACACACUGCUGUAGAGAACAAAUCUCAGCAGUGCGAAGGAAAGCCUAG